rnacentral:rRNA from 1 species
UUGAACGCUGGCGGCAGGCCUAACACAUGCAAGUCGAGCGGUUGAGAGUAGCUUGCUACUUGAUGCAGCGGCGGACGGGUGAGUAACGCGUGGGAAUCUGCCCAGUAGUGGGGGACAACAGCCGGAAACGGCUGCUAAUACCGCAUACGCCCUACGGGGGAAAGGGGGGGCUCUUCGGACCUCGCGCUAUGGGAGGAGCCCGCGUCGGAUUAGAGAGUUGGUAGGGUAAGGGCCUACCAAGGCUACGAUCCGUAACUGGUCUGAGAGGAUGAUCAGUCACACUGGAACUGAGACACGGUCCAGACUCCUACGGGAGGCAGCAGUGGGGAAUAUUGGACAAUGGGGGAAACCCUGAUCCAGCCAUGCCGCGUGUGUGAAGAAGGCCUUAGGGUUGUAAAGCACUUUCAGUGGGGAGAAAGGUUUGUCACCUAAUACGUGAUGAAAUUGAUGUUACCCACAGAAGAAGCACCGGCUAACCCCGUGCCAGCAGCCGCCGUAACAC